CAGUCGCCGCGGGAAUACGUAGGGUGCAAGCGUUGUCCGGAAUUAUUGGGCGUAAAGAGCUCGUAGGCGGUUUGUCGCGUCUGCUGUGAAAACUGGAGGCUCAACCUCCAGCCUGCAGUGGGUACGGGCAGACUAGAGUGCGGUAGGGGAGAUUGGAAUUCCUGGUGUAGCGGUGGAAUGCGCAGAUAUCAGGAGGAACACCGAUGGCGAAGGCAGAUCUCUGGGCCGUAACUGACGCUGAGGAGCGAAAGCAUGGGGAGCGAACAGGAUUAGAGACCCCUGUAGUCCCUGUCUCUUAUAC
rnacentral:rRNA from 1 species